rnacentral:rRNA from 1 species
GAUGAACGCUGGCGGCGUGCCUAAUACAUGCAAGUCGAGCGAACAGAUGAGGAGCUUGCUCCUCUGACGUUAGCGGCGGACGGGUGAGUAACACGUGGAUAACCUACCUAUAUGACUGGGAUAACUUCGGGAAACCGGAGCUAAUACUGGAUAAUAUAUUGAACCGCAUGGUUCAAUAGUGAAAGACGGUUUUGCUGUCACUUAUAGAUGGAUCCGCGCCGCAUUAGCUAGUUGGUAAGGUAACGGCUUACCAAGGCGACGAUGCGUAGCCGACCUGAGAGGGUGAUCGGCCACACUGGAACUGAGACACGGUCCAGACUCCUACGGGAGGCAGCAGUAGGGAAUAUUCCGCAAUGGGCGAAAGCCUGACGGAGCAACGCCGCGUGAGUGAUGAAGGUCUUCGGAUCGUAAAACUCUGUUAUUAGGGAAGAACAAAUGUGUAAGUAACUAUGCACGUCUUGACGGUACCUAAACAGAAAGCCACGGCUAACUACGUG